AUCGCUUCUCGGCUCUUUUGAGCUAAGAUCAAGUGAAAAUAGAAUUAUCUACUAUAUGAAUUGGUUCUUAUCAGUUUAAUAUCUGAUAUGUUCUCUAUUUGAGGGCUACAUAUUAAAUGGAUUUUUAGAACAGGGAGAUGGACUAAGAGCUUGCUCCAUCCACUCUAUGCAUCAACCUGGUAUUGCAGUACUUCCGGGAACAGUGCACUUCCU
rnacentral:snRNA from 1 species